AAUACCUGAAGCAAAAAAGCUGGCUGUGUCUGAGGAGAGUAAAGGUAUUGUUCAGCAGUUAUCAACCAUGCAGACCCAGAGGGCUGUAAGUGGAAUUGCAAAUGCAAUUACUGUUGAAGAAUGGAAAGUUCCAGAUAAAAUGGUGGGGUUAAUUAUUGGUCGAGGGGGUGAACAGAUAACAAGAUUACAGGCAGAAUCAGGUUGUAAAGUACAGAUGGCUGCAGAUAGUGGUGGUUUACCUGAAAGAAUUUGCACUCUUACAGGUUCCAGACAAUCUAUAGAAAAAGCUAAAGAACUUAUAACAGCAAUAAUAAAUCGUGGAGGUCCUCCUUUACCUGUUUUAGACACUAAUCAUGUACCAGAUGGCCAUACGAUAGUUGAAAUGAUGAUCCCUGGUCCUAAAGUUGGUCUUGUCAUUGGAAAGGGUGGAGAAACUAUUCGUAAUCUUCAGGAAAGAGCUGCUGUAAAAAUGGUUCUUAUACAAGAUGGUCCUCAGCAAACAUCACAAGAAAAACCACUGAGGAUAACUGGAGAACCUGAUAAAUGUGAAUAUGCAAAACAGUUGGUCAUGGAUCUGAUCACAGAAAAGGAACUUGAAAGUAUACAAAGAGGGGGAUUUGAUGGAACUAAUGAAUACGGAAGUGCUGCAGGUGGUCAGAGAGGUGGAUCUGGCUCAACACAUGAGAUAAUGGUUCCUAAGCAAGCAGUUGGUGUAGUAAUUGGUAAAGGUGGUGAUAUGAUAAAGAAAAUACAGCAAGAUUCUGGAGCUAGAGUUCAGUUUUUAAAUGUGAAAGACGAAGGUCCAGAUGAUAAAGUGUGUGUUGUCACCGGAACUCCGGAGCAAAUACAAGCGGCCAGCACUUUCAUAAAUGAUCUCAUCCAAAGUGUACUGGUGCGUGAUCAACAGAAUGUUGGGCGAGGUCGUGCGAGAGGCAGACCAGCUGAUGGUAGUGGCCCAAACUUUGGUAAUAAUCCAAGAUCAAGGCCUGAUGUUCCAGAAAUUCAUUAUGCGGUUCCUGCUAAUAAAUGUGGUCUUGUUAUUGGGAAAGGUGGAGAAACAGUAAAAAAUAUUAAUCAGGUAUCAGGAGCAUAUGUUACACUUUCUGCCUUACCUCCUCCCAAUGCACAAGAAAAAGUAUUUGUUAUUCGGGGACAACCUCCUCAGAUUGAACAUGCAAAAGAACUCAUUAAUGAAAGAAUUGGAGGAGUUGGAACAGUAAUUCAAUCUCAAAAUCCUCAGAAUCAGCAAAAUUUUCCUCCUCAGUUUCCACAACAGCAACAGUAUCAGCAAGCACCAUCACAAGCUCAACCAUAUGCACCACAAGGAUGGGCAAAUGCAUAUCAACCAUGGCAAGGUCAAACCGCUCCUGCAGCAGAUCCAAAUGCUGCUGCUUGGGCUGCUUAUUACAGUCAAUAUUAUGGUCAACAGCAAGCUCACCAAAUGCAACCUUCUGCUGCUCAGCCUACAAUGCAGCCUGGUGUUGCCCCACAACCUGGUAUGCCCUCCCAGCCUGAUCAGAAUCAAGCGGCUUCUCAGCAGCCUCCUGCAGCUACACCUGCUGCUGCUAUUCCUGCUGCAGCAGCUCCUGUAGGUUCAGCUGUAGCACCUCAGCCAGAUUACAGUGCUGCCUGGGCUGAAUAUUAUAGGUCUUUAGGUAUGUUUCGAGAAGCAGAAAUGAUAGAGAAUCAAGCAAGGACGACAGCACAGCUGGCUGCCACUGUCAUGGCACCUCAGCAGCCAGGACAGACAUUUCCUCAAGCCCAACCAACUACAACUGCUCCAGUCCAAGCUGGAGCUCCAGCUGCUGCACCUCAGCCUACCCCUCAGCCAGCUGCUCCACCUACUCAACCACCACCAGCAUCUGUACCUCCAGCAGUACCACCUGUCCAACAGGCUCCUGCUGGUGCCCAGGCACCUCCUGCACCAACUGGUGUGCCUGCUCCUGGUCAUCCUCAACCUUUCCCUCCAGGUGCACCUCAAGGCCAGUGGCCUGCACCUGGACCAUUUGGUCAACCUUUUGGCCAACAACAACCAAACGCAUUUGUUGGUUACAAUUACCCAAGCUAUGGACAACAACCUUUCACAGCUGCUGCGCCUCAAUAAUAAAUGAUCUAUAACAUUUGGUGGCAUUGAUUAGGCAUCUCAAAAUUAAAGCUCCGUUCUGCUAGCCCCUAAUGCUUGGCGUUCCAGAGCAUUCUGGGAGCCAAUGUAAACAUUGAGGUAAGCUGUGAAUACCUUGCUGAUAUAGUUUCAUUAUGUCAUCUGGUGCUGUCCUAUGAAUAUGAAGUUUUAUCCAUUUGUCAUGUUGUGCUCAGAGUGAUUAUGCUUUUGGAAAGUAAACUGGGAUGCUAUAAUAGUUAUGACAUCUGACUGUAGUGUGAAAUUCAUGUUCUGUAAUUUUAUUCGUUUUAAUGUUCUUUUCAUCUACCAGGAUAUUAAGAAAAUGACAUCGUAAUUAACCAGACAUUCCCCAGAAUACUUUGCAUUUUUGUUUUACUUUGUUUGAUUUUAGAUUAUUAGCUGCAAGUCUCAAGCUCUAAAUAGGCUUCUGCAGAUCCCUGGUUCAAUAAUGGUAUAAUUUGAAAUGAUUCUAGUUUAAUUUUUAAUUAUGUAUUUGAAAUGCAUAAUGUACAUAAGUUUCAGUUUUUGUUUAACUUCAUAAUUUUUAAAGAUAGUGUAUGAUGUGUAGUUCAUAAUUGUAAAAUAAAAUUCAUUCCAUAUUUGUGUGAUAUUUUUUGAUGCUGUGUAGUUGAAAUAUGUGAAAACACAUGACUUUCGCUAAAAGACAUUUUCCAUGACAGUAAGCUAUAAUUUUAAUGCACUUACAAAAUAAUUUUUGUAGCGAAAUAUACUCAAUUUCACUAACAAAGUAUGUGUUUUGUUUUACAGUAAAAAAGCGUGGUUUAUAUAUGUUCAUAUACUAAUUUAAACUUGCUAUAUGCAUUCAAUGAAACAUUAAAUUCGGUCAGUGGAUGUAUAAGCAAGUGAACUUUUAGUUCUUCAUAAUAUUUUUGCUUAUAUAGCCAUAGAAGUUUUUAAAGGUUAAUUAACAAAUAAACUUCUCAGCCUUUUGCUUAAAUGUUUUUAUGCACUUUUACAUAAAUUAUUUAUUAUAAACUGGAAAGUAAAUUUUGAAAAUAUAUUUUUUGAAAUUUUUUAACUGUCUGUAAACAAAGGUAAGUAUUGGGAUUUUAUUUUAAGAAGUAAGCAUUUUUGCCAAGUACUAAUGAAAUCUGCAAUUACAUGUCUUCUUUUUAGUUGUGCAGGUUAUUUUUUAGCAAAAUAUGCUGUUUUGUGAUGUAUCUAGUUUUGGAAAUCAGUAUAGCAUUUUUGUAAUAUAUUAUGAAUUUGCUUUUUGCUUUUCGAAGUGUGCAUGUUAUUUGAUAUAAAAAUAUAAUUAAGUUUUUAUCUUAGUUUUAGAAUCCCUGCAUUCAAGAAGUUUUUAAUUCAUUUAGUCUUCCUUCUCAAAUAUUUCCUUCAUUUUAUAUUAUUUCUUACAAAAUUCCAUAACUGCAUUUAUUUUCUGUUGUCUGUUUUACUUAAUACUUAAGUAUUUCAUAUGGUAUUUAAUUAUGAUGGGUGAAUGCAUUUAUAUUAAUAAUUAAAAGUUGUAUGUUUCUUUUCUAUAUACUUAAUGAGCUAGUAUAUGAAAAAUGUUUUGUUUUACUUAAAUUGGUUUCAGAUGUUACUUUUUCCCUUCAAUAUCCUCCUCUUUUAUUAAAAUUUGCCAAUGUUAAAGUUUUCCCUUUUGAAAAAUGGUAUCUUGGGGGAUAUUUAAGAGAUUGUGUAUGUACAUCGUAAUUGAAUUUCUUUCAGCUUCUAACAUUUCUUUCAGGAUUCAUUUCAAAUUCAGCUCACAAAAUUGCUGAAGUAUAGUUGCAUAUUUAUAUGUAGACACCAGUCUUUUGUUUAAAUUAUUUACUAUAAUUUAUUUGUGUUUGAACAUUAGUAUCCCCACUUUCAUAUUACAAUUAUUAAUUUGUACAAGAGAGCUAUAUAAUUUUUUUUUAUAUUUUAGUAUACAAUUUUGAAUUUUGAGUGUUUGUUGUCAUCUAAUGUAAUUAAAUUGCCGAAAAUAUAUUUUUUUUGGGGGGGGUUAUUUUUGUAAGCAUUAGUGAGAAAUAAUUAAGCAAUUACUGAUUGGAUAAUUUUGAUUGAAUUCCGUAAUAUUGUAUUGAGACAAACACAUACACGUUAGUGACUUUAAGUAUGCUGUAGAAAGAAAUUUAAAUAUGCUAAUAAAAAGGAUAGAAAUUUUUACUUUUUUUACUUAUGUAAAAAUGAGAGAAAUUUUAUUUGGUUUAUUAAUUAAAUUUUAUGCAUUUUUUACUAAGUUGGCAUUCUUCGAGUGGUUUGCAGAGGAUUAAUCAUUUUUGUAGAACAGGCUACAGGUGUGACAGUUCUGAAGUCCAAACCUUAGAAUGCAAAACGGAUCAGGUUCAUUAUAAUUAUUCUACCAUAAUUUUAUACUUCUUAAGAUUGCCAAAUGUGUAUGUGAUAGGAAAAUUCAUUUAAUAAUGCAGUUUUUAAAAUCUUAUUUCUGAUCUGAUGUAUAUAAUGCUUGUAAACUUUAGACGUAUUAAAUAAAAAAAAUACUAAAAUUCU